rnacentral:rRNA from 1 species
AGAAGCAGGGGACGUAAGGCCUUGCACUUUUGGAGCGGCCGAUGUCUGAUUAGCUAGUUGGUGGGGUAAGGGCCUACCAAGGCGACGAUCAGUAGUUGGUCUGAGGGGACGACCAGCCACACUGGGACUGAGACACGGCCCAGACUCCUACGGGAGGCAGCAGUGGGGAAUUUUGGACAAUGGGCGCAAGCCUGAUCCAGCAAUGCCGCGUGAGUGAAGAAGGCCUUCGGGUUGUAAAGCUCUUUCAGUCGAGAAGAAAAGGCUACGGUAAAUAAUCGUAGUUCAUGACGGUACCGACAGAAGAAGCACCGGCUAACUACGUGCCAGCAGCCGCGGUAAUACGUAGGGGGCGAGCGUUAAUCGGAAUUACUGGGCGUAAAGGGUGCGCAGGCGGCUUUGUAAGUCAGAUGUGAAAUCCCCGGGCUUAACCUGGGAAUUGCGUUUGAAACUACAAAGCUAGA